rnacentral:rRNA from 1 species
ACUAAGCGUACACGGUGGAUGCCCUGGCAGUCAGAGGCGAUGAAGGACGUGCUAAUCUGCGAAAAGCGCCGGCGAGGUGAUAUGAACCCUUGACCCGGCGAUGUCCGAAUGGGGAAACCCAGUGCAAUCCGUUGCACUAUCGUUAACUGAAUACAUAGGUUAACGAGGCGAACCGGGGGAACUGAAACAUCUAAGUACCCCGAGGAAAAGAAAUCAACCGAGAUUCCCCCAGUAGCGGCGAGCGAACGGGGAGCAGCCCGGAGUCUGAAUCAGCUUGUGUGUUAGUGGAACGGUCUGGAAAGUCCGACGGUACAGGGUGAUAGUCCCGUACACGAAAGCACACAUGCUGUGAACUCGAAGAGUAGGGCGGGACACGUGGUAUCCUGUCUGAAUAUGGGGGGACCAUCCUCCAAGGCUAAAUACUCCUGACUGACCGAUAGUGAACCAGUACCGUGAGGGAAAGGCGAAAAGAACCCCGGCGAGGGGAGUGAAAAAGAACCUGAAACCGUGUACGUACAAGCAGUGGGAGCCUCUUUAUGGGGUGACUGCGUACCUUUUGUAUAAUGGGUCAGCGACUUAUAUUCUGUAGCAAGGUUAACCGUAUAGGGGAGCCGAAGGGAAACCGAGUCUUAACUGGGCGUUAAGUUGCAGGGUAUAGACCCGAAACCCGGUGAUCUAGCCAUGGGCAGGUUGAAGGUUGGGUAACACUAACUGGAGGACCGAACCGACUAAUGUUGAAAAAUUAGCGGAUGACCUGUGGCUGGGGGUGAAAGGCCAAUCAAACCGGGAGAUAGCUGGUUCUCCCCGAAAGCUAUUUAGGUAGCGCCUCGUGAACUCAUCUUCGGGGGUAGAGCACUGUUUCGGCUAGGGGGCCAUCCCGGCUUACCAACCCGAUGCAAACUACGAAUACCGAAGAAUGUUAUCACGGGAGACACACGGCGGGUGCUAACGUCCGUCGUGAAGAGGGAAACAACCCAGACCGCCAGCUAAGGUCCCAAAGUCAUGGUUAAGUGGGAAACGAUGUGGGAAGGCACAGACAGCCAGGAUGUUGGCUUAGAAGCAGCCAUCAUUUAAAGAAAGCGUAAUAGCUCACUGGUCGAGUCGGCCUGCGCGGAAGAUGUAACGGGGCUAAACCAUGCACCGAAGCUGCGGCAGCGACGCUUAUGCGUUGUUGGGUAGGGGAGCGUUCUGUAAGCCGUUGAAGGUGUGCUGUGAGGCAUGCUGGAGGUAUCAGAAGUGCGAAUGCUGACAUAAGUAACGAUAAAGCGGGUGAAAAGCCCGCUCGCCGGAAGACCAAGGGUUCCUGUCCAACGUUAAUCGGGGCAGGGUGAGUCGACCCCUAAGGCGAGGCCGAAAGGCGUAGUCGAUGGGAAACAGGUUAAUAUUCCUGUACUUGGUGUUACUGCGAAGGGGGGACGGAGAAGGCUAUGUCAGCCGGGCGACGGUUGUCCCGGUUUAAGCAUGUAGGCGGAGGUUCCAGGUAAAUCCGGUACCUUGUUAACGCUGAGGUGUGAUGACGAGGCACUACGGUGCUGAAGUGAUAAAUGCCCUGCUUCCAGGAAAAGCCUCUAAGCAUCAGGUAACACGAAAUCGUACCCCAAACCGACACAGGUGGUCAGGUAGAGAAUACCAAGGCGCUUGAGAGAACUCGGGUGAAGGAACUAGGCAAAAUGGUGCCGUAACUUCGGGAGAAGGCACGCUGAUGUGUAGGUGAAGCCCCUGCGGGCGGAGCUGAAAUCAGUCGAAGAUACCAGCUGGCUGCAACUGUUUAUUAAAAACACAGCACUGUGCAAACACGAAAGUGGACGUAUACGGUGUGACGCCUGCCCGGUGCCGGAAGGUUAAUUGAUGGGGUUAGCGGCAACGCGAAGCUCUUGAUCGAAGCCCCGGUAAACGGCGGCCGUAACUAUAACGGUCCUAAGGUAGCGAAAUUCCUUGUCGGGUAAGUUCCGACCUGCACGAAUGGCGUAAUGAUGGCCAGGCUGUCUCCACCCGAGACUCAGUGAAAUUGAACUCGCUGUGAAGAUGCAGUGUACCCGCGGCAAGACGGAAAGACCCCGUGAACCUUUACUAUAGCUUGACACUGAACACUGGUCCUUGAUGUGUAGGAUAGGUGGGAGGCUUUGAAGCGUGGACGCCAGUCUGCGUGGAGCCAACCUUGAAAUACCACCCUUUAAUGGCUGGUGUUCUAACGUAGACCCGUAAUCCGGGUUGCGGACAGUGUCUGGUGGGUAGUUUGACUGGGGCGGUCUCCUCCCAAAGAGUAACGGAGGAGCACGAAGGUUGGCUAAUCCUGGUCGGACAUCAGGAGGUUAGUGCAAUGGCAUAAGCCAGCUUGACUGCGAGCGUGACGGCGCGAGCAGGUGCGAAAGCAGGUCAUAGUGAUCCGGUGGUUCUGAAUGGAAGGGCCAUCGCUCAACGGAUAAAAGGUACUCCGGGGAUAACAGGCUGAUACCGCCCAAGAGUUCAUAUCGACGGCGGUGUUUGGCACCUCGAUGUCGGCUCAUCACAUCCUGGGGCUGAAGUAGGUCCCAAGGGUAUGGCUGUUCGCCAUUUAAAGUGGUACGCGAGCUGGGUUUAGAACGUCGUGAGACAGUUCGGUCCCUAUCUGCCGUGGGCGCUGGAGAAUUGAGGGGGGCUGCUCCUAGUACGAGAGGACCGGAGUGGACGCAUCACUGGUGUUCGGGUUGUCAUGCCAAUGGCACUGCCCGGUAGCUAAAUGCGGAAGAGAUAAGUGCUGAAAGCAUCUAAGCACGAAACUUGCCCCGAGAUGAGUUCUCCCUGAGACCUUGAGUCUCCUGAAGGAACGUUGAAGACGACGACGUUGAUAGGUCGGGUGUGUAAGCGCAGCGAUGCGUUGAGCUAACCGAUACUAAUGAACCGUGAGGCUUAACC